GGAUAAAUAAUGAUCAUAAUUGUAUGAGGAUCCGGGAUGAUUCACUGCAGAUGAUAGUCUGAGAUUU